rnacentral:piRNA from 1 species
UAGGAUACAAGCCUGGGAACAUAGCCAUU